rnacentral:rRNA from 1 species
UACAGAGGAUGCAAGCGUUAAUCGGAAUUACUGGGCGUAAAGCGUGCGUAGACGGUAGCGUAAGUCGGGUGUGAAAGCCCCGGGCUCAACCUGGGAAUUGCAUUCGAGACUGCUCUGCUAGGGUGCGGAAGAGGGAAGCGGAAUUUCCGGUGUAGCGGUGAAAUGCGUAGAUAUCGGAAGGAACACCAGUGGCGAAAGCGGCUUCCUGGUCCAGCACCGACGUUCAGGCACGAAAGCGUGGGGAGCAAACAGG